rnacentral:lncRNA from 1 species
UGGCAUGGUCUGGUCUGUUUUGCCUGAAAAUUUUCACUUUCAAAUAUGGUGAUUUCAUUUUGAGACGAGACAUUAGUUUCAAGAUACCAUUUUGGUUGGUUAUCUAUCUUUAAUCCAGGGAAAGAAAAAGGAAAAAAGAAAACUGAUGAUGGCCUCGAAGCUGGUUCAAUUGCAAGGCAAGGCUACUCAAGCUUCAAAGGUUGCGGCUGAGUAUGGAUCUUCCUAUUACAAGCAGCUUUUGGAGAAGAACAGGCAUUACAUUCAGGAGCCACCCACUGUUGAAAGAUGCAACCUUUUGUCCAAACAGUUGUUUUAUACCCGUCUUGCAAGGUAAACCUUGCUUGGCUUGCCCUGUCUGAUUUCAAGAAGAUUUCUAUUAGAGACACAUUGCUUGGCUUGCCCCCUUGAUCUCUAUCAUUAUCUUUUACAGUAUACCGGGGCGCUAUGAAUUGUUGCGGAAGGAGGUUGAUUCUGUCAAACAACUGUGGAAGAACAGGCAGGAGCUGAGGGUGGAAGAUGCUGGGAUUGCUGUCCUGUUUGGCUUAGAAUGCUUUGCCUGGUUUUGUGCUGGUGAAAUUGUAGGUCGGGGAUUUAAAUUCACUGGUUACCAUGUCUAGGUUCCGGAUGGCCUUGAUCUAAUUAGUUGAUUUUGUUUUCUAUAUUUAGAUUCAUUGUUAUCAGAGAGAUGAAACUCAGAGGAACGAAUUUAUUAACCCAUCAACCAUUCUCCAUUUUAAUGUUAUAUCUAUCUACUGCGCACGCACCAUUAUGCUUUGUAUGCACCUUAUCUAGAAUUGCACUUGAAAGAUCCCAAUUUGUGGACUUUCUUAGACAUACUAGAUUCAAUGUUCAAUUAAUCUUGGCUCUCUCUCUCUGGGAAGCGACACUCUAGUUUUUCAAAUUAUUGGAAACCACCAUAAAACGAUGAUACUCAGUCUUCAGAAUCUAUGCUUUCAUAAAUCAAAGCAACGUUCACCAAAAUUAUUACAAAAAGAAUAUUAAAAAAAAAAUAAUACAUAUCCUGGAUGAAGGCCUAAAUACAAAACUUCUCUCCUAAAGAUGUUGAGAGUAGGGAUCUUUUGCCUUUUAUCUUUCCGUGUUGUACGAGAAAGCCAGUAUAAUAUUGGGUAGUAAAAUAUCGUAAUAUCCUUUAAAUAAGGUGGUUCCUAAAUGCCAUUAUCAUUUUUGGUGAAAAAAACAAAAUGAACGCCAAGAAGGAACCAAAGAACAGUUUGAUAGCAUAUCUAGCAGGGUCGUGAUCAACUUCUUCUGAGGUAGUUCUUGGGGUUGACAUGGGUUUUGCCAGUGGUGCGGCUUCAAUUACUGCAUCUGCUAGAUCCAUAAUAAAUGAAGGAGUACAGCCAAGGGCAGGCACUCGGCCCCAAUUCUCAAUGCCGGAUUCGAGGGCCAAUUCCUUGUACUCCAUAUCAAUCUCUUCAAGAGUCUCUAUGUGCUCACUCACGAAGCUGGACAAGAAAUAGAUGUCAGAUUUACUUAAUUCUCUUUUGAGUGAUAUGAAGAACCGAAAAUGUCAGAACCACAAACCAAAUGGUAUUCUCUAAUAGCCCUAGAUAUACAAGACAUCAGAGUGUCAUGAUGAAGUGAAAUACCUGACUGGAACAGCUAGCAGACUUUUCACACCUUUCUGGCCAAGCUCCACAAGAACUUCAUCAGUAUAGGGCUUCAGCCAUUGUACAGGACCAACUCGGCUCUGAUCACAACCCAAGCACAAAAUAAGGAGGAAAAAUAAUCAGAAAACAACAUUUACACAAGUUGGAGCCCUACAUGGUAGACAGCAACCAACAAAAGUUCUGAGAAUCAAGAAAGCCAGAAAAGUAAAAGCUAGAACUCAGAAAAUGGACUUUUAUAACCAACCUGAUAAGCAAGAGUAUGUUCAUUGUUGAUCCCUCUAGAUUUCAACUCUUUCAUUAUUAAGAAGAUGCACUCCUCCAUUUGAUCUUUGUAUGGAUCUCCAGCAUCCUUCACAUAACUCUCUGGUACCCCGUGGGCACUGAAGAAUAUCAUGACCUAAAUUUCAUACAAAAUUAGUAAUGCUUACCAGUGCUGUUAAGUUAGUGGAAUAACCAUACAAUAAAUUUGAAAAAUAUGCUUGAUAGCAUCAUUUGACCAAAGAGAAACAGAAAUUUAAUUCCAUUGAAAGAGCCAUUUCAGAUGAGUCCGUGAAUUAAUCAAGCGCACCUGUGCAGGCUCAGAAAAUGUUUCUAGCUCUUUGGAAAUCAAAUCAGCCAUUGACUUAAUAUAGCCUUCACGUUGAUACCAUGAGUUUAUAAUAGAAACAGGCAACCUUGAUAGGUAGGCGUCUUUCCUGCAAGUGGGCUAACAUUCAGGAAAAAUUGAACAAUGUAUAAAAAUGUAUGUAGUUACAUAAAUUGACAGUGAAAUGUCACCUGAAAAUAUCUUGGAGCACACGAAUGCUUGAUCCGGUUGUAGAGAUAGAAAAUUGAGGAUAUAGAGGUAACACAACAAGCCUGGUUAUUCUGUCUUUCUUAAUCUGCGAAAGGUAAUGGAAGAAAUUUCAGUUAUUUGAUUCACUCAAAUAGAAGAUAGAUGUAUAGAUUGAAGACUUUUAGGUGACAAUUCUAUCUUUUCACAUCAUUUACAUUAACCAAAUCAAGUAGCUUACUCCUUGGAAGUAUUAAUAUAUGAUAUGUGUGUUAUACAUGUAGAAAUUAAAGACUCACUUGCUGAACUGCUUCCUCAGUGAAUGGGUACCAGUAACGCAUUCCCACGUAGACAUUUACAGGCAAGUCUUUUGACUUCAAAGCCUUUUUGAGUUCAUUUGCCUGUAAAAAGUAGCAAAAACCAUGUAAGUGCGAAAAUAAAAGAACAAACCAACAAAUAGUCUAUUUAAUAAUAAUUCUUGCAGAGCAGUUAUUCUUUUCUUUGGUAAGGAAACAAGACAGAUUAUACAAACAAAACUAAAGGAAACAUUUCAACCGGACAAGUCAUGUAUCUGCUCUACCUGCUCAUCUGUUAUUUUUCGCAACGGUGAACCACCUCCAAUAGCAGCAUACCCUUCUUUGCUUUUGGGAGCUCGAAGCACAGAAAUUAAUUUUGCCAAUGGUUGCUGGAGAAACUGAAACAACCUUGGGAGCCGGAUGAUAUCCUGGUUCACACAACAUGGCAAUUUAUCAGUAAAAGUGUGUAAACAACUAAUGGGGACACAGACUAGGCAAGUAAGCUUGAGUAGAACAUACCGGAUCCGCAAAUAGAUUGAACAAAAAUGGUUGAACAUCUUGAAGCGUCUCUGGCCCUCCAAGAUUGAGGAGGAGGACUCCCACUUUCUCUUCCGCAGUAUGGGAAUGAGAUUCUACCGUCCCAGCGUAAGUGUAUACACCCGCAGGACAUAAUGUUUCCCCAACAGGGCUUUUCUUACAAGAAUGUGAUACCCCAAACAUGUCUCCUUUAUCGCUUGGCGUAGAGCACGAAACCGUGAGCUGUUUCGGAAGUCGCAAUCUCUUGGAUGAAUGGCAAGAGUCAAAUCCAAGGGAUCUCGAGGAAGAGCACGACCUGCCACUAAAUACAUAUACACAUUUACUCAAUAUCUCAGCUCAACAGAAACUCCGAAACUUUUAAACCAAAACCCAAUUGCCAUAACUCAAAGCUUCUAUUUGGUGGUUGUAAAAACGUAAACUUUUAAUACGAUUUUCCGGGAAACAAGAAAGCCAUAGAAGAGAAAGCUUACGCUCAAGAAAUUGAAGGACUUUCUUGCAUAAUUUAUAUAAAUAUAUGAAUCUAAUACCAUAAAAGAGCCAACUUUACUGAUCCAAACACAAAAACACAGACAAUUUUUUACGAUCGGAGGGCUUACAUCGAUAAUUUAUGAUCCGAAUGGGAAAGCUUCAUUUGGGGAAGAACCCCGGAGCAUGAGGUGGCGUUCAUGGCGUUUGGCGUCCAAAAAAUAAACACAAACUUUUCUCAGAACCUUGAAGCGUAACAGAAACGUCUCAGCACUUCUUUAACAAAGUCGCUACCCUCUCUGUCUCUUAACUACUCUACUACCUACCUUCUCACUCUGCUACUAAUUCUAAUUUUUGGUUGAAUACGUGUUUGAAUAAUUGGACCAAAAACUAACGAAUACGUGUUUGAAGACUUCAACCCCCACGUCAGCGAGUCUAACCAAAAGGCGGUUGCCAUUGUUUACCCUUUUUUUACCUGGAAGUUCGCCGUCACGUGACGUCACGUGUUGAAAUAGUUGGGCCUGGGAAAGCUCAAAAUGAUGUGUUUAGCCCAAUAUAAAAGUCAGGCCCAACUAUUUCAACACGUGGGCUUUGAAAGUGGGCUUUGACUUGAUGCUUCUUCCUCGUACACGUUUAGGGUUAGGCAUCAGCACCUAUAAAUUCGUAGUUAGCUCAGUCCCUCAUGCCUCUUCUCUUCCAUAUCUGCCUACUUUUCCAUCUGGAACUCAAAAGCUGCCUGCAAUUGUUCUCCGUUACUUGGAUUACAGUGUUGUAUGAACGCUUCUUGGUAAUUAAAUUUCAUUUGAAUUAUAUAUAUUUGUUUUGGGUUCUGGUUUCUGGGUUGUGGGUUGUGUUUGUUUUCAGAAAUUGAAACCGGGGCUCCAUAUUCGAGUCAACAGCAGGCGCCCAUAUUGGUGGCGACCCGACUGCCGCUUGGAGCCGAUAGUAAAAUUAUAGUAGUGGGUGAAGAUCCUUGAAACUCAAACCCAGUUUGUUUCAUGACACAAUAUCCACUAUACAUUUUUUCAUCUCUCUGCUGUUUUAUUUAUUAUUUUAUUUUAUUUUUCUUAAAAUAAUUUGUUAUGAUUGCAUUUUUUUUAACUGGUAAGGUAAAAGUGAAGUAGGAAGAAGUGAAUUUUGGCACUCCAGUCAGACACGGGUGUUUGUUACUGAAUUACAAUAACAAUCAACCUUUUGCAUGGUGCCUAUAAAGAGCUACUUAUCACGAUUGGAGGAAAGCCAUUCAUUUUCCACGCUUUCCUUCAAAUUCAAAGCAGCUAAAUCUUCUUAAGUAUUUUCUGGUCUAGCUUUCAGUACAUCAAGCAAAUUGGUUUUUUUUUUUUUAAAUUACAAUCUGUUGGGUUUUGAUUCUUUUGGGUCCCUGAAAACAAUGGGUUAAAGACCAUAAUAAUGUUGAAUCACCAGAAGCAGAGAUUAAAGAAGCCUCCCUGUAAAUGAAAAUAAUGAAAGAGUGUUUUGGGCUCUAAAUAUACGAGUCAACAGCAAGAACCAAUUAAAUUCCAUGGUGCCUUGACUGCCGCUUGGAGCCAAUAUGAUAUUUGCCAAUAGAAAUUGUUUAGCUUGAAAUGCUCUCUGGUUUCAUGCUACAAUCUUUGGCUACAUUCAUUCAUGAUUCAACGUCUCACUUCUCAUAAUGGGUUAAAAUUGUAGUUUCAGUGGUUGGAUUUGAUGCCUUGUUCAAUUGUUUUGUGAUGCCUUGUCUAAUUUGCUGUUUCGAUGUUUGUGUGGUUGCAGCCUUGCAGAUUGCAUGUUAGACCCGUGAUUAUCUACAAAAGGCUUGACAAACAAAAACAACCAUGAGGUGAAGACUUGUUCAAGAUUUCGAAUUAUUCUAACGGUCCGACAGUUGUGUUGAACGUGAUGUCACUCCAUGAUUCAUCGGCAUCGGAUUCACUUUUGGAUUUUCCGAAGAGUCAAGAGUCACCAAUCCAAAAGGAGCUGAGGCCUAUUGGCCGAAAGGUGGCUAAGGCGAAGAGAAGGAGUAAUUCUUGCAAUAAUACAUCAAAAAUUUUGGAGGAAAUUGUGAGGCAUGGCGCCAUGAGAAUUGAAAUAGACAUACGCGCCCAAGCAAACGAGAGGACAAUUCAAGAAGAAUAUGCAAAAGAAAGGGAGUAUAUACGCAAAAAAAAUAUUGACAAGCAAGACCGGGAAACUAUGGCUAUGAAUACAAGCCAUAUGUCCCCUGAAACAAAACAAUUUUGGAAGUUAGAACGAAGGGAUGUUAUGAGAAGAAGACUCUUCCGUGAGGAUGGACCUAGCAACACGGAUUGGUUAAAUGAUCAAAAUCAUUAAGUUAGUUUGCUUGCCUUUUAUUUCAUUGUAUUUUAAUGUUUUGUAUUAAAGUAGUUGUAAUUCAUGUAUUUUAUUUAAUUAGUAGUAAUUCUAAAUUACUUGUAUUGGUUUUCUUUGAGUGAAUAAAGAAAGCAUUCAAGAAAAUACAUUUUUAUUCAACACAUUUCAUACAUCAAACAAAAUAUAAUUUUAAAAAAACCACAAUCAAAGCAUAAUUAAAAAAAAAAAUCACAACCAAAGUUUAAUUAAAAAUAAAACAUAAACAAGGCAUAAAUAAAAAUAUUCUAAAAGUUAAUUAUUUAGGUUUAAAAAAAAAAAAACCAAAAGUAAAUAGUAUUUGUUCUUCGCUAUGACAAUAUGUGAAAACACACAUUGCUUUUUGCAAGGGCAGCCACUAUUCAUGUAAAUAGUGUCUUCCCUAGCCCCCCCCUUGCCCUUUGCCAUGGCAAAUAGGUGAAAAUGCUCUUAUGUACUUGCAAACAAAAUGGACGAAAUAAAAAGAAUUUGAGUUUCAGUCAAUCAUGCUCGUUUUAUCAUUGCCAUCAAGUCUGUAGAGUUCCCAGCGAAGAGGAAUUAUUCAAUAACAACUUACCAACAAAACCUAAAUAUCGGCACAUAUCGCCAAUGAUUCAGGCAAAGCAACAAUAAGUUCAUUAUCAGAAAGGUUGUUUACAUCAUUGUGUAGUUUGAAGUCCUAGGUUUCAAACGCAUCACUUUAAUCUAUAUUAUCAUAACAGACUAAGGUCUGGAGCAGACAAAGGGAUGAAGAAAGUACAGCUGCAACCAACAAAAUCCACCUCAAGACUUCUCUUUUCAGAUUUUUUGGAUUUAAAUACUAGUACAGUCAUGAUUUAAAAUUUAAGAAUUCAUAAUCACAGGACAUCGGUUUCUAAGAUGGCACUGAUUGAAGAAUGAUCAGGAGUCAUUAAUCAGGUUCUGGUGUACAUAAGAGCAAGUCCAGCAGUGGGAGCUGGACUCGGGCUGGGGGGGAUUUGGGCAAAAAACGGAGGUCCAGCAGAGAAGAAGCAGCCCGGGCGAGCGUGGGGUCCACCAAACAGGGCAGGCCCGAAGGCGAUUUCGGUCCGAGCUCGGGCCCGAGGUGGAUGACGUCAUUGCUGACGCCAGCGUGACGUCAACCCUUACGGAUUCAAAUUUUUUUUACCGUUGGCGCGUGCACGCGCCAACGUUAAAAAAAAUUUCGAAUUCACCGCUACAGUAGCCGCCAACGGCUACUUGACACGUGGCAGCCUCUGGUCGCUCCGAUUCGAAUUUUUUCUUCAAUCCAACGGCAUCCAAUUUUUCUGCAAUAAAAAAUUGAAAAAAAAUCGAAUUUUUUUUUAAAAAAUACACAAAAAUUACUGAAUUUUUUGUGUAUAAAUACCAACCAAUACUCUUCACUUUUAAUACCAAAUCCUCAUAUAUUUCUUCUCCUUCUACUAUUAUUCACUUUCUCCUCAAAAUUUAUUUACUUUCUAUUCAAUAUUUUUUCACUUUGAAGUUGUAUUUUUUUUCUAUCAUAUUAUGGGUUCUUCUAAUGAAAAUGGAGGGGCAUGGAGCAUGAUGGAAGAUGUUAGCUUGUGUGAGGCUUGGGUCCAAGUUAGUUUGUCCCGUAACGGGCAAUGAGAUGAAAUUUUCUCAUAUGUGGAAAAAAAUUCAUCAAGCAUUUUGUGAAAGGGCAAUUGGUUCUACACGUACAGAAAUGACAUUAUCCAGUAGGUGGAAAGUUCUUAAUAAAGAGUUGGUGAAAUGGAGAAAUGCCUUAGCAAAAGCGAUGGACAAGCAUCGAAGCGGAGAAAACCUUAGCAGUGAGGUAAAUUAUUUGUCAUUUUCCUUCUAUUAAUUUCUAUGUCAUAUUAAUUUUUAUUUAAAUGUUUCUUGCAAUUUAUAUAUUUUGUUAAUAUGUCUCUAGUUUUUUUUUUUUAUAUACAUGUUGCAUUUUUUUUUAAAUUUAUUGAAUUUGCAUUAGUUUUUUUUUACAUGUUGCAUUGCCAAUAUUUUUUAAAGUUUCUUGCAUUUCCAUUUAAUUUUUUUUUAUAGAUUAUGCAAGCUCAAAUGUGGUUUGGUGCUACGGGGCAAGGGAAAAAAAGUUUCAACCAUACCCAUUGUUGGGAGGUGGUGAAGACUUGUAAGAGAUUCCAAAUUAUUCCAACCGGUUCGACGGUAGUCUUGAACGAGACUCCACUUCAUGAGACGCCGGCAUCGGAUUCACCUAUGGAUUCCCCGAUGAAUCUAGACUCACCCAUUGAAAAUGAGCUAAGGCCUAUUGGGAGGAAGGCGGCGAAGGCGAAGAGAGGGGGUAAUUCUAGCAAGAAUGCAUCUCAAUUUUUGGAGGAACUUUCAAAGCACCAAGCCAUGAGAAUUGAAAUGGACUUGAAACAACAAGAGCACGAUAUGGCUAUUCAAGUAGAAUAUGCAAAAGAAAGGGAGUAUGUACGCAAAGAAAGGGAGUAUGUACGCGAACAAAAUAUUGAAAAAAAAGAUCGGGAAACCAUGGCCAUGGAUACAAGCUAUAUGUCCCCUGAAACAAAACAAUUUUGGAAGCUAGAAUGAAGGGAUGUUAUGAGACGAAGACUUUUUCAUGACGAUGGACCUAGCAACACGGAUUGGUUAAAUGAUGGAAACCAUUAAAAUAGUUUUUUGCCUUUCAUGUCUUAGUUUACUUGCCUUUGAUUUCAUUGUAUUUUUUUUUGUUUAAUUCAUGUAUUUUAUUUUAUUAUUAGUUGUAUUGCUUUUCUUUUAGUCAAUAAAGAAAAUAUUCAACAAAAAUCCUUUUUAUUCAAAACAUUCCAUACAUAAAAAACAAACUACAACCAAAGCAUAAAAAAAAUAAACAAACCACAACCAAAGCAUAAAAAAUAUUAUCCGAAAAUAUUAUUCAAAUUAAUUGUUUAAGUAAACAAAGUUGUGAAAAAAACAAAAAAAUGAAUAGUAUUUGCCAUGGCAAGCCCCCAACUGCUGGAAACACAUUUUGCUGGAGGGAGCUAGGGCAGCCACUAUUCACGUGAAUAGUGGCUGCCCUAGGGCUCAUCUUGCCAUGGCAAGAGGCAACCGGUGGAAAUGCUCUAAGAAGAGCCAAAAACUACACUCAGCUAUCCUCAAAUUGCAGAAACCGAAACCAGAACCAAAUUUUAAGACUGGGAAAUGUCACAAAUUCGCAAGUAUCCUUAGAAGCAACAAGAACAAUCAAAUGGACAAAGCGGUGUGCUUCCAGCAUCUGCCUUAUUAAUUCCCAACUCUUCUUCUGUAUAGAUAGCAAAGCCAUCCUGCGUUCUCUUUCGAGAACUCGACAACUUGUUCAGAGCGGCCAUCCUGGCCACGUUUUGAAACUUUGAAUACCUAAUGAACAUCUUUGGGCAAGGAAUCCCCAUUUAAAAUUUAAUUGGAAUGAUUAACAAUAAAUAUCAUUACUUAACUGUACUGAAACUUAGAUUUUUAUUAUUUACGGAGAAUCAGAGGGAUAGCAGAUGGUAAAAUAAAACUAAAAAAGAAUAAGGUUUCCUUCAUUGUGCUCAAUUUUUAUAGUUUUCAUGUUCUAGAAAAUUAAACAUGGUUUUUGAAGCAGUACAAAAGGCAGUGAAUAAAUACCUUGUCUGGUACUCCAACACUCCUUGAAAAUUUUCGACCAAAUCCAACUCCUUAAAACUACAAGAAGACGUGUUUCAAGGCUGAAACGUUGAAUAUUUUCAAGUAACUAUGGGACAAGCUAAUAUGAAAGCAAUACCUGAAUGGCUUGCAUUCCUUGAACACCUGAAAACUCAAUGCCAUCUUGGUUGAUGAACCUAUUUUAAGCAAUGCAGUCUUGUUUUUAGUAUUUUCAAAUACAAAAAAUGCAAUGAAGUGAACAUUGAACACCUAUCAAAGACUGUUUUGAUAUUUAUUUUAUUCGAACUACACCAAUAUAAGAAAUCCGGGCCUUAGGUAGAAAAUAUUAAAGUUCAAACUUAUGCACUCAUCUUGGAAGUACUUGUUCCAUCAACACCACCAAUAAUUGAAAUGCUCUUGAUCUUGACAUCUGAUGUAAAUCUAUCAGAAAUAAAUGAACAAAAUAUAACUCAAUCAGAAUGUAAAGUAACGACAUCAGAGAUAAAUUCGUCUUAGAAUGGUAGGUUUUAAUAAAAUUUCUCAAGAUGCAACGCAAAUGUUUCAAAAUUAAGUACAGCUAGUUUAACAUCAGAUAUAGCAGAUGAGCACAAGAACAAAAGAUAAUUAUAAAUGACACAAAAAUUAAUUUGUUUUAGGUGAACCUGGGGAUGCUACUAAGGUUGAAUCCCAUACUCAAACUCAUACAGAUUUGACCAUGGAGAUCUAACAAAACAUGUUACUAUUGAAAUUGAAUGAAAAUAUGGAAAAAUGGGUAUAACUACUCAACCAAUGGAUCUCCCUGUCCCCAUCCAUUUCAUGUUUAUGCAUUCUUUAACUCAUGUCCUGAAGAUAACACAUAAAACAACAAAAAUGGAUACUCACAGAAUGUAAACAAGUAACUCAGGAUCACCCUCAUUGCUCUCCAAGUGUUCCUGUUGCAGAAAGUAGGAUCAGAUGAGGCUUCACAUGCCUAAUAAUUGAAACAUAAAUUAAAACCAAUAUAUAUAUGGUAAAUCUGAACUGAACCUCAACCAAUGGUUCAUGAUCUAAGGUCUGCUGCUGUAGACAAAGGGUGAAGAAACCUCAAGCCUUCUCUUUCAAAUUUUGGACUUAAAUACUUGGUACAGUCAUGAUCUAAAAUUAAAGAAUUCAUUAUCAGAGUACAGAGAGUUAUAAGAUAACACUGGCUGAAGAAAGAUCAAAUUCAUUUAACCAGGUUCUGUUGUACAUAAGAAAAGCCGAAAACUACACUCAGCUAUCCUCAAAUUGCAAAAACCAAAACCAGAACCAGAACCAAAUUCUUUUAUGACUAGGAAAUGUCAUGAAUUCACAGGUAUUUAGAAGCAACAAGAACAAUCAAAUGGACAAAGCGGGGUGCUUCCAGCAUCUGCCUUAUUAAUUCCCAACUCUUCUUCUGUGUAGAUAGCAAAGCCAUCCUGCAUUCUCUUUUUCGGUUUAGAAAGCAGGUCCCCAAAUCCACCAUCUCUAAUCCUUUUGUCUUUCUUCUUUUUAUUCAGCUUGUUGGGGUUUUCUAUCCCAUCUCCAUUUGGAUUUUUAGGCUUUUCAGACUUUUCGGUUUCAGGUUUCUUCCUCUUCUUCCCUGCGAAUAUUUCAUCGAUCUCAGAAGUUCGCUUUUUGGCUGAAGAUGAGUGUUUUUCAAUCCCAUCUUCAACUGGUUUUUUAGCCUUUUCAGUUUCAGGUCCCUUCCUCUUUUUCCCUGCGAAUACUUCAUCAAUCUCAGAAGUAGGUUUUUUGGCCGAAGAUGAGGCUUUUUCCUCUUCUACAGUAGAUGUAUUAUCUUGCAUCUCUCUGGGAGUUUUUGAUUUACUCUUUUUGCCCAUCUUAUGGAUCCAAAAGCUGCAUGUCAUCCAGAUUACAUUACUGAGAAUUGACAGAACAGAGAUUUAAAAAGAAAAAAUGGAAUGGAAACUUUCCAUCCAAGAACAGAUUACUCAAAAACUGGAGCCCCUGGAGGCAACAACUCCUUUUGGGUCAACUUGCCAGACUAACUCAGUUUGUAAACAAUCAAAACAACAGAAGGAACAUGAAACUGGAAAUUUAGGUUACAGGAUAUCUGCUCCUCAUUAGCUUCCUAGCAACCAAACAUAACACAAACGAAAAACAGAAAAUGGAAAAUACUGAUUUCAAUUGCAAUUUCUCAGCUUGUAGGCUUUCAAUUUUCAUAGAGACGAAUUUCUGUGAAACAUGGACUUGAUCAAAAGAAAUAGCCCAAUAAUUAUUACAAAAGCUCCAAUUUUGAGAACUCGACAACAUGUUCAGUGCUAUCGAAAAUUUGAUAAAUUUCAAACAAAUGCACUGUAAGUCACAGAAACAAACACAGGAUAGUAAAGAAAGAACGCACAGAAAAAUAAAAAAGAGUUCGAGUUGUUGGGAAGCGCUAACCUUUAGGUUGUUGAUAAACAGCGAGAAAGAGUGAGUCGCUAAAACACUAUCUUGAUGAAUCUGCAGAGAUACCAGCGAGCUUUGUUGCAGAGUUGCGAGCAACGAAGUAUAAAACCAUUUAUUUGUUUUUUGUUUCUGGCGAGCUUUUUAGCUAAAACCCUAGCUUGAUGUGGGAUAUAAUUCGUUCCCACGAUUUAUGAUUUAAAAAUAAUUUGGGUUUUGCAAUUAAAUUAGCCCAAUAAUAAUAAUCCCAUAGCCAAUCGGGUUUUGAUGGAAAAUGACAUUGACUUACAGUGUGUUUGGAUGAGGAAAUUUAAAAAUACAAAGAAUUUCAUAAAUGACGGAAUUUAAUGUUCUAGAAUUUACAAAGUUUCUUGUUUUGGUAAUGGAUUUAAAAUACGGAAUUUAACCUUUAUUUGUAAAGUUGUCUUUUUUAAAAACUCAAUCUCUCUUGUAAUUUUAAAAAUGACGACUUUUAGAUAGAAUUUAAAGUUGGGAUUUAUGAUCUCCAAAUUCUUUUUUUUUUUUCCCACGCUGAAUUUCUAAAUUUAUAUAUAUUUUUAUCCAAACACGAGAAUUGGUUCAUGGCAAUUUAGAAAUUCUAAAUUUUGUCAAAAUCCUAAGUUUAUUUUCCUCAUCCAAACGCACCGUUACAGAUAAAUAGCAAAUCAAUGGUCUCAUGUUCGAACCUUCGUGGCACCUUGAUAGUGUGUGUGAAAAACCUCACCCCUCUUGUAGUCGAGACUAUCACUUGUAUUCAAUAAUAAUAAUCCCAUAUGAAAAGGAGUUAAUUAUUUAAUAAAUGAAUCAUUUGGAUUAAUUUGGACAAUAUCUUAUUUGAACGAUUCUAUCAAAUUCCAAUCCAUUUUGUACAAAAUAAUAAGCUAAUCCAGCUCAACAUUCCAAUGGAAAAGGAAGAGAAUGGCUGGCUUUUUUUUUUUUUUGGGGGUUUGAGAAUGGCUGGCUUUAAUUUUAAGAGUAGCAUUGUGCAACCCAUAAAAAAGAAAGUCAAAGAAACAUAGCACAGGAAGAGGAGCCACAGCAAAUAAAAGGAUUGUGAUGUGACAACAAUUCAAGUAAUUUCCUUGGUGUUUAUAUUAUCGAUAUACAAAGAGUGUUCCAUUCUUAAGAAGCACAGCAGGUCAUAGUUAGCAUAACUUGUUCAUUUCAGCCUUUGAACUGCUAGCAUGGCUUGAGUUUCCUCAUUCCACAUGUGAAAAACCCCCACCUUCAGCCUUUGUCCUGCAAACAAGCACACAAUUGACAAACAACAAAACCACAUACAUCAGUUCUUUUCUCCACUGGUAAAUAGUCUCAAAUUCUUUCGACAAGACAUGAAACUCUACAUUUUUUUUACUGAUAAACCCACAAAAAGUAACCCACAUUUCUUUGAAAAAGACCAAAUUUUCCGUUCCUCAAGGAUAACGAAAGCUUACUUGUGAUCGGAAGGAUUUGGCCUGAGUUCAUAAACAAUUGUUGCAACAACAUCCCUCUUCAACUGUUCAUCAAAGAAAAGAAAAUGAUGUAUUAGUUAUUUGCACAAUUAACGCAACAGAAUAUGCUCAUAUGGAAUGAAAUUACCUGAGUAGCCUCGCCUUUAAAGCCAAUGUACUCUAUCUUAGUUGUAUCACCACCAAAACUAUCAGGAAAAUGCAAUGUGAUGCUGGCCACGUUUUGAAACUUGGAAUACCUAAUUAUACGGAGAAAUGUUACAUUAGAGGGAUAACAGAUGGUAAAAUAAAAAUCAAACAAAACAAAAAACAACAAAAGAACUCAUUUCAGUGGCAAUUCAAAGUAAUUUACCGUCACUGUUCAAUUUGAAAAAGAAUAAGGUUUCUUUCAUUGUGCUCAAGUUUUAUAGUUUUCAUGUUCUAGAAAAUUAAACAACAUGGUUUUUGAAGUAGUAGUACUCCAAAAGGCAGUGAAUAAAUACCUUGUCUGGUACUCCAACACUCCUUGAAAAUUUUCGACCAAAUCCCACUCCUUAAAACAAUAAGAACACAUGUUUCAAGGCUGAAACGUUGAAUUUUUUCAAUUAACUCUUGAACAAGCUAAUAUGAAAGCAAUACCUGAAUGGCUUGCAUUCCUUGAACAUCUGAAAAGUCAAUGCCAUCUCGGUUGAUGAACCUAAUUAAGCAAUGCAGUCAUGUUUUUAGUUUUUUCAAAUAUAAAAAAUGUGAUCGAUAUUGAACAUCUGUCAAAGACUGAUUUGAUAUUUAUUUUGUCAGAAUCAUAUAGAACAAGACUCGUGAUCAGUACUAUUAAAGUUUGAACUUACACCCUCAUCUUGCUAGGACUUGUUCCGUCAGCACCGCCAAUAAUUGAUAUGCUCUUGAUCUUGACAUCUGAUGUAAAUCUAUCACAAAUAAAUGAAAAAAAUAUAGCUCAAUCAGAAUGUAAAGAAACAACAUCAAAGAUGACUUCAUCUAAUAAGUUGGUGUCAGAAUGGUAUGCUUUAAGAAAACUUAUCAAGAUGCCGACCAAAUGUUUGAACAAUAAAUACAACUAUAUUAAGCAUCAGAUAUAGGAGAUGAGCACAAGACAAAAGGAUAAUUAUAAAUGACACACAAAUUAACAGUUGUGUUUUGCUUUAGGUGUACCUGGAGAUGCUACUAAGGUUGAAUCCCUUACUCAAAACUCAUACAAACCCAACUAUGGAGAUCUAACAAAAUCAGACACAUAUUAUCAUUGUAAUUGAAUGAAAAGAUGGAAAAAUGUGUAAAAGUACUCAACCAAUGGAUCUACCUGAUCCCAUGCAUUUCGUAAUUAUGCAGUCUAUAACUCAUUUCAUGAAGAUAUCACAUAAAACAACAAGACGGGACACUCACGGAAUGUAAACAAGUAACUCGGGAUCACCCUCAUUGCUCUCCAAGUGUUCCUGUUGCAGAAAGUAGAAUCAAAAUGAGGCUUCAUAUGCCUAGUAAUUGAACAUAAAUUACAACCAAAAUAUAAGGUAAACCUGAACUAAAUCUCAAUCAAUGAUUCCUACAAAUUUUCGUAAAUGUCAUUCUGAGCUUUCAAGUAGAUUAACUUAUGAAGUUUGGAUCAUUACUUUUAACAAGGACGUAUAGAGAAGUAAAUAGAUAGCUCAUUACCCCAGUAGAAUUCAGCCGUUGCUCCCAAGCUUUAAAAACCGACUUGACACUUCCUGGAACCGCCUCAUUCAAAGCCGAAACCUAAAAACAGAAUAAGACAUUCUCUCAAGGAGAACACGUCAUCAUGUCAAUCAGCAAGAGGAAGCUCCAACGAAAUAUUAAUUUACAAAAUAACAAAGUGUGAAAAUAUUGCAAAGUAUAAAUCACCCCACAUCAACAAUCAUCAAUUACCAGUCAUAUAGCCACCCACAACCAAACUGCCCAAACCACAACACACAAGCACCCGUCUCCCAAAAAAAAAAAAAAAAAAGUUUCUAAACAUUUCUGGAAACUAGCAAUAACAGCAUCUGCAUGGAGUAUCAUUAACAAAGCUUCAUAUCCAACUAUUUUCAUUUACAACCAAGAAGCCUACACAUAAGAACCAUUAUGCUUACGGAUAAAUGCUUAUGAGAUUCAGCAUUUGAGCUUGAGGGUUUAUGUUGAUCACUGUUCUUUCAACUAAUUUUCAUUUGGGCACUUCCAGAUAAAACCAAAACAAUCACAAAAUGGGAGCAGACUGAAACGUACCAGUAUACGCAGAGCAGCAGUGUGAUAGCUAACAACGAAAACAUAGGAAUAGAAAAAUUAAGACUGAGCAAAGAAAAAGGCAGAGAAAUAGGACCUUGGGGAGGUCUAUAUGCUUGUAGAGAGACCAAUCAGAAGAACAAUCAUGCUCUUCGCAGCUGUGGUCAUGUAAGCAAGCCAUCUCUCUCUUUCCCUGGAUCACCAAAUUUCUAAGAAGCAGCACAAAAAGGCGAAGAAGAAAUAGAAGCAACCAGAAAUAGGGAGCGAACCGUGGCUUUUUCUGUGCAUAGUGCCGAAAAGGCCCUUGUAUCGGUACAAUAAAACGCACCGUUUACCUGUACAUAUAUGUCCUUUUAGGCUUUUACUGUGAAAUGCAAACGAGACUGUUUUCGCAAAACUUUCUUCUUUGCUUUCAUUUGGGAAGUUCAGCUCUGAGCUCUGUGAGAGAUGGAGGAAAUAGUAGAAGGGGACGGGUCGGGUGCGGGCAGAUACACGCUGAGACCAACGAGGCUAAGCAACGAGGACAUUCUGUUCUGUAUAGAUGUUGACCCAGAGUCUAUGGUGGAGAUGAAAGCCGCGAUGGGCCCAAAUGGGCGACCUUUAACCCGCUUGGACUCGAUCAAGCAAGCCAUACUUGUCUUCAUCAACGCCAAGCUCACCAUCAACCCAGAGCACCGAUUCGCCUUUGCCUGUCUCGGAAAGUCCGCGUCUUGGGUAGGUUCUCUCUGUUCAUCUCUCUCUUUAUUGCUUGGUUUCUGUUCGGUUUCCGAGAAAAUUUGCGAUCAAGGGCAGAGGAUUUUAUGGUUAUUAUGUGUUUUUUAGGAAUUGAACUCCUGGAAACCAUGAUUAUGGCUUUGGGUCAUAGUUUUGAGGUUUUUUGUGAUAUAUACGGUUAUGGGUAGAUUAAAAUUUUCAUUUGCAGGAAAUGUAAGCAAUUGCGUGCCAUGAAUUUGGUUUCUGGAUGAAUCAAUGAAGGAAAAUUAGUUUAAAUCACUAUUUUCAAGUAGCCCAUUGUACAGAGUCUCACCAAGUCAAAAACGUUUUGAUAGCAUGAAAGAGUUUAGACAGAAGUGUGAAACCCACGAUACAAUAUGGGGUUGCUGUGCAUGUAUAUUUAUAAGAAGUACUACGUCGGUAAACAAGAUUUGGAUAUGAACACUACUACUGAGGAGGCUUAUCAGAGAAUACUAAUGAUGAACCCUUGAAAUAAAAUACAUGAUAAAUAUAAACAGAUAAACACGUGAGGAAACUAAGCAGGUAGCACUUCUAUCAGUUUUCCUUUGAUUAAGCUUUGGUCACUUUUAUUGAAUGCGGGUGAGAAAUCAAUUCCUUUACUAUCUGUUAAGGAGAUUUCGGAUCUUGAUCAUAGUUUCAAAGUGUACUUUCCAAGAAUCAUCCGCAUACCUUGAUCAUUUUUGGUCCUAGACUUAUUUUAUGGGGUGCAGUACCAAGAAUCGUUCACAUACCUUGCUGUAGGGUUGAGUUUUGAUGCAUGAUAUGCAUAAUUAUCAUGCAAAUACCCCAUUAGUAGUAAAUAUUUAUGCAGUGUAAGCAAACCUUCUGCAGGUCUUUGUUCAAAACACUCAAUUUAUCCUUUGUGUCUGUUUGUUUGAUUUAUGUUUCUGUAAUUGAUUUGGAACCUUUUGUUUUUCGUUUUUAUGAAGCUUCGGAAAGAGUUUAGCAGUGAAGUCGAUUCUGCUAUUGCUGCAUUUCGAGUACUCUCAGCUACUUCAUCUUCUAGUAAUGCAGAUCUUACCAGUCUAUUUCGAGUAGCAGCUCAUGAAGCAAAGAAAUCUCGUGCUCAAAACAGACUUUUAAGGGUGGUAAGCAAUGGUUGGCUUAACUUUUCAUGCAAUUACAUUGGUUAAUUAUUACAUCCGUGCCAUUGUGAUAUUCCAUCUUAUCCCUUCCAUGAUGUUGAAAUUUUUGUGUGUUGAUUGCUAAAGGCUGACAUGCUUGCCCUUAGAUUCUUAUUUACUGUAGAUCAUCUGUAAGACCAAAUCAUCAAUGGCCUGUGAACCAGAAACUCUUCACUCUGGAUGUAGUUUACCUUCACGACAAGCCUGGACCUGAAAACUGCCCUCAAGAGGUCUAUGAUUCACUUGUGGAUGCCCUGGAACUUGUUAGCGAAUAUGAGGGCUACAUCUUGGAGAGCGGUCAGGGAUUAACUCGAGUUCUCUUCCGUUACAUGUGCAUGCUGCUAUCACACCCUCAGCAGCGUUGCCCACAAGACCAUCUGGACAUACCUAAGCCUCUUGCGAAAAAGUUGCCGGCAGCAGAUUCAACGACUACUGAUGAUAGUAUUAUAACUGUGUCCGGCAUAUCAGAAGUUCAGAACAUUAGAAAUUAAUUUUACUGAGGUCAUUUUGCUUCUAAAAGUCUCAUAUGUAUGUAGUUUGUCUGAUGUUGAUGUAAACCUCUUGUUGAGUGAGAAUGAGUAGCCGAUUUGAUCUUGGUCCUAUCUGUCUGUACAAAUUGUGAAUGUUAUGAAUCCCAAUGUUUAUUUUAACCUAUCUGUCGAAGAAUUUUUUAUGACAUUCAAGAUCACGUAAAAUAUAGCAAAAGCAAGAAGUUCUUAGUACUAGUUUGUAUGUGUAUCCCCAUUAAUAUGAAGAGGGAGGUGGGAGCUGGCUUGCUACGCCGCGUCACACGGCACGCGGCAGCUAGGCAUAUUAGACGUCGAAGGAUUCUGGCAUUAAAUGUUAAGCAUUUAUAAACUUUGCCAAGGCUCAAAUUCUCCCAUAAGCAGCCUAAAAUGAGGAUGUUGUAAGUUGAAUUUUGCUACAUAGAACUACAUUCUCGGAAAACAGCUUAGUUGCCACUUUGCCAGUCACAUCACGAGACAUGUGUCGAAAUCUCCCCCGCUCGAAAAAAUAAAAAAUAAAUAAAACAAAAAAAAAAGGUAAGCCUUCCUCAAAGUCUAACGCUACUAGAUUGAAAGGUGAAAAAACUUGAUUGCAUAAGUAUACUACCCAUUGGUAUUGAUGAAAGACUUAUGAGGUUUGAAAUUAAAUCUUUCAAGUUCCCCGCAGAACCCUGCCUUGCCCUUUGGAGUGAGGCUAAGGUUUUCUUCUCUUAUUAAAAAAACCAAUCGACUAUUAUUUGCAUUCCCACAAAACCGUAUGACUCAUUGCUUCCAAUGGUGAGGUCAACAUAUUGGUAAUCAGAAAGAAAAAAAAAAUGCAGAGCUCGAAAAGUUGAAAUGAUAACCAAAAUCCCUCAUCCAUAUAAUUUUUUUUAAGUAGAAGUCAACUUGGAGGGAUGAUCUUAAUCACACAAAUUGUCUGUGACAUCUCUAGAAUUAGUUUUAGUAAUGAAAUAAAUCGUUUAACUCUUUCGCUCAAGAAAUCUGCCGGCAUGACGUGUCGCUUGUGCGUUCCUUGUCCACUUGUGCAUGCUUAUAUAUUGCUUGCACGAGUACAAAGAAAAACUCCAGUUUGAAAAACUUUUUAUACUAAAAAUAAACCCUAAGCAUUAUUAAAUUUGUAUUGUUUUUAAAGUUUGACCAACUGUUUUGAUCUUUUUUUCAUGAACUUGUCCAAGCCGUUCUGGCGCUCUUUAACUAUUAUUAGUCUUAAUAAUCUAUUUCUAAUUGUCAUGAGUCAUGACCAAUCUCCCUUCUCUGUAAAGUGCAUCAAGUUGGUCAUGUCAACUCAUUCUUUUCUUUUUACAAGUGAUGGUGGGGAUAACUAGGUUAACACUUAAAAUUGCUUCCAUCUUCACCUACUUGAAUGACAGAAGAACAUGGGCUCGUGCCUUGUGGGUCACUUAUCUUAUCUUAUUUAACUUUUUUUUAUUGCUUUUAGGUGAAUCGACUGCACAAUCUUAAAUGCAUGAAUGAAUGCUUUAAACUAUUUAAAUUACGAGCUCUUUAUUGUGUUCCUUAGACAGAAGUUAAAACCAUCAUGAUUUGCUGGUUUUGAGUUGGUUAAUUAGUGUUUACAUGGUGUGAAUGUAAAAGUAAAUGGUAAAUGGCUUACAUAGCAAGUUAGUUAUAUAUAAGUUAAAGAAGACACCUCUCAAGUGGUAUGCGAAUCUUGGGGUGGCAUAAAAUAAUUGAGAAUUUAUUUAAAUAUAGUCAAAUUAUUGAAGCUCCUUCAGCUCUCUGUGGAGCCACUUUAAUUUGCUCCAAUAGAUGAUCAUUUUGCUAACAUGUGCCCUUUAUAUUCAUGAUUAAAGAGAAGAGGACUUCAAAUGAACUUUGGACUAUAGGAGAUAGAUAGGAGGAGGAGGAGGAGGAGGAGAUAAAGGAAAAAUCCAUUUCCAGUUUUAAUGGGACUCUGCAUAUCUUCUUCAGCUCACAAAAUUCAGGAUGGCCAUGAAGCUCCAAUGUCCUUUGAAAGGACUGACGAUUCUAAUGGAAUUCAGAUGCACGGUUCCCUUUAUUCUUUGGAAGGAAGCAAAGGAGUAAACCAAGAUAGUGCCAUUCUUUACCAGGUUUGUGAAUAUUUCUUUCCCCUUUAUUAUAUGGAAGGAAGCAAAGGAAUUGUUCUGUGUGUUUCUCUAGCUGCUCAUUUCAAAACCAUAUUGUUUGUUUUUCGCUUUGUCUAUACAUAAAUAUAUAGAAUGGCAAGGCUUGUUUUCUUAGAAAAUCAUCAGCAAUUUCGUUUCAAAAGCAUUCAUGCAAAGCAUGUUGCAUAAUCGGGUUUCAUAUUAUUUUACUAGGCUUCUGAAAGUCUGUUGAUUAUAGCUUUAACCUCUUCUUAUUUUUCUUGUCUUUUCAAUAGGGCUAUGGAUUGGAAGCUGAAGCUUUCUGUGGAGUUUUCGAUGGACAUGGAAGAUUCGGGCACCGAGUGAGUCAGCUGGUGAGAAGCAACCUGCCAUCACUCUUACAAGGCCAGAUGAAAGCUCUUGAUCAACAAGCCAUUGCAGUAGCAGAGGAUGAUGAUUCGAAAAAUCACAUUGACAGAAUAGAAACCGAGUCAGAAGAUUCAGAACCAAGCAAGAAAUUUCACAAAUGGAAAGAAGCCUUUGUUAGCUCCUUCAAAGUCAUGGACAAGGAGAUUAAGCUUCAAGAAAAUCUGGACAGCUCUUGUAGUGGAACCACUGCUGUUGUUGUCAUAAAACAGGUGAGAAAAACUACACAUGAUCAUUGAACAAAUUAUUUAUCUUUCUUUAUUUCUUUGUGUUCGGCUUUAAUUCAAGAAUCAAACAGGGUGAGGAUCUUUUUAUAGCUAAUCUGGGUGACUCAAGGGCAGUCCUAGGAACCACUAGAGAGAAUGGAAUUGAGGCCAUUCAAUUGACCACUGAUCUAAAGCCUGCUUUACCUAGUAAGAAGUUCAUCAUUUUUUUCCAUUUUUUUCCUCUUGUUUAAUUUGAAGUGAUUAUCUGACAGGUGAUCGUUUUUAAUGCAGGUGAAGCAGAACGAAUAAGGGCGUGUGAUGGUCGAGUGGUUGCACUAAAGCAAGAACCUAACAUCCAAAGAGUGUGGUUGCCUCAUAUUGACCUCCCAGGCCUAGCCAUGUCCUGAGCUUUCGGAGACUUCAUACUCAAGGACCAUGGCAUCAUUGCCACCCCUGACGUCUCCUAUCGCCGCCUGACUUCCAAAGAUCGAUUUGUCGUUCUUGCAACGGAUGGGGUAAGCCCUAUUGGAAAUGAAAUGUGUACUUGUUAAGAGUUUUAGCGUUGCCAAAGAAAAAAGGGCACAGUUGCUUUCCUAUGAAUGGCAUUUUAACCACAAUGAUGCGUUUUGUUCUUGGGCUUGGUAUUUAGGUUUGGGAUGUGCUCAGCAACCUUGAAGUUGCAUCCAUUGUGUGGGAAGCUGAUAGUGCACAAGCAGCGGCAAAGGCGGUGACGGAGACUGCGGUGGCCACAUGGAGAAGGAAGUUCCCUUCUGCUAAGAUAGAUGACUGCACUGUGGUUUGCUUGUUUUUGCAAGACAAACUACAUGAUCAUGUUGUGCCUGUAAAGAUAUGAGCUUUUGAGCAAUGCUUGUUGCUUUGUGAUCUUUUUUUAUCUUCAUACAUUUUAACACGACACUAUACUUUUUCAAUUUCUGAUAAGCUAUACUUUUUCAAUUUCUGAUAAGCUACCCGUCCAAUUAUGUACAUAAGCCCACAGGUUCCAUUUUUGGUUAAGACAACAGUUGCUUUCAAGAAUAAAUUUUUGGUCAAAUCAUCCGCCAGUAAAUGAAAUCUUUCAAAACCAAACAGAACCAUUGGCAACCUUCAAAAUGCUCAGUAAAUUUUCAAAAUGUCCACGAAUAAACAAUGAUGUUUUGAUUUGUUUUCUCCAGGCAAUUCUAGAAAGACAUCACAGGGCUAGAAAUUCAUGAACAUAAAUAUAAUAAGACUUGACAUAGUGGCAAAAGGCAUUCUUGAAAUUUCAUUGAAAUGCUUUUAAUCACAAUAGGAUAAGGCCGAUAAACUUCAGUUAAACUCUUUAAUAGGGGAAAAGAAUUAUGUUGCCUCCAGGCAAACGAAACAAAAGAGAACUUUCUGCAUAUAAAAACCCCAUUUGUGAGUAAACUCAAUGCCUACCAUCUGGAUGAAAAAAUAGAAACAGAAGAUCCCGGGCGAAUAUAAAUCCAUUUCCUCUAAUAUUCAAGUGCAUCAUCUUUGGGCGCCUCUCCAAGCAGGUCAUCAUCAUAUGAAACAGGUACCCUUAACCUAUCAUGAACAGAAAGUUGUUUCCCUUCAGUAUUUGACUGAAUGCCUUGAGUUUGCAUUUGACAAAUAACCGGUACGGCAUCUGAAAUAUUAGCUGGAGUAUCAUCCUUGAAUGAAUUCACAAUUGCUUUAGAUGAACCUUCUUUCCCUUGCUGUAUUGGUUGUCUAUUAUUUGUUGACCUGAAUUGCUUCUGCAUGGAGAUAGAAAACAUAAAAAGUAAUCAACGAUGCUGUAGUUUUACACUUUUUCUAAUAAAAGUGAUAUUUAAUUGACGUUUGGGAAAUAACAUCAGAAACAACACUAUGAAUCUAUGAUCCACUACUGCGCACCUCAAAUUCCCUUCCUUUUUUCAUUAUCUCUUUGUAGGCCUUUGGUUCUCGUGCUUUGAUGAUACUCCAUAGUACUCCACCACCAAAUCGGAAACGUUUGCCAUCAUGAGUCAUCUGACCUCCACAAGCCUGGAUCGCAUCCACCUGAAAUUUUUCAUCAUUUCACAAAUGAUAUCCUAGAUACACCAUGGUUUCUAGCAGGGAAAAAGUAUCCAUUCUCCUGAUACUGGAUUCCAUCCGGACUACAAAUAACUAAUAUACGAGAAACAUAGAAACACUUGUAACAACCACAUUUAAUAAAAUUCAGAAAUUACUUAACUAAGGAUAUCGUUCCCUACAAUCAAAGUAAGCUCAAAGAUGUUCAUAAUCACAAAAGUUUCUGUAAACCAUCUCCGGAUAGAGCUUAUGGUUCCUGGGGGAGGAGCAAACAUGAAUGAUGAGCUUUUUGGAGCAAAAAUAGAUGUGUAUUGCUUUGUUACGCGUAUCUAUUAGAGUACUCUUACAUGUGUUUUGCAUGCAUAUUGGCUAAUGCAACUCCAAGAAAAAAUGAUAUCAACCUACACAAAUAGCAUAUGAUGAAGUGGUUCAUCCAGGGGACAUCACAGCUCAGAGCACAAGAUUGAAAGGAGUAAAAUGGCUUCUGCAAGAGAAAUCUGCAAGGGUAGGGAAACAAUAUUGAGGAUCAGAAAUUAUGCAAGGCUGCGUGGCCAAAUAGUGUGCAUAAGCAUCGGCAGCUCUAAGCUGGUCCAAAAUUAAGCAACCCAGAAUCUCACCUUCCCUUGCAAAAGGCCAGUCGAAUCAUUCAAGUCCACUCUCAACAAAGGAUACCCUGCCUUCCCCUUGAAGCUAUAAUGUGAAGGGAACUUAAAAAGGGACAGAUGGCUCAGAAGGUAAAGACAACCUUAAAAGUACCCCAUAAAGCAUAACCAUCCUCCCAAUAACAGGACCCCCAAUUAGCAAAAAAACCAGCGUGUUCAAGAAUCUAUAGAACAGAAUUGGCACAGACAAUAUGAUAGGUGAUUUUUAAUUGACAUCACUGAAACCCAGCUCUGAGUGCAAAUCCCAUGUUCUGAACAUGAGCAGCAAGGUCGGAUCAUCUUAAAGCUAGAUGUGAAGCGGAGUCAAGGCAACCUUAAGAAGUACCCAUAAAGCACGCCCAGACACAACCCAUUCACCCAAUAACAGGAUUACCAUUAGCAGAAAGACCAAGAGUGCUCAAGCAGGUACAUAAUAGAAUUACUUUGAACAAUAUAAUAGAUGAUUUCAAUUGAGAAUAUCACUGAAAACUCCACUGAAAGGUAUUGGGCACAAAGCACAUGUUCUUAAACUGACAGCAAGGUCGGAUCAUCUAAAAAUGCACAUUAAUGCAGAUAAACAUGUACCAAAUUUACAACCAGUUGCUAAUGGCGUCUGUCAAGGAGAUUUUCAGAAGACAAUUACAAAACAUAAUGCAAUGCACACGUAGUUGCGUAUAAAAGAUAAAGAAAACAAUCCCCAAGUUAUAUAAUUUGCUUUGUCACAGCAUUUCCACAAAAGCACACAACGAAGGGCAGCAUACCUCUUUGACGAGAUCAUUCAAUGCAAGAACACCCAGACAACCAACAGCAGUAUAUACCAGAUAUGAUUUCUUCUCUUUCAGUCGCCUACAUGUAUCCAUCACAAACCUGAAAAAGACAUAACAUUAAAAGAAUGUAAAAACCCACAAGAGAGCUCCAAAUUCCUUUUGAAUAUAUGUAAUUUCUUUCGUUCUUAAUCGGGCAGGGCAUAACCUGUCUAUGUCAGUGACAUUAAUUCCAGGGCCACUGUUCCUUCUCCUAUUCCUCUUCUUCUUACCCCUGCGCUUCUGAUUCUUGCCCUGACGUUCUUGGUUUGCUACACUGACAUUGCCACCACUGAUCUGUCCCGAACCAUUUUGUGAGUUAAAAUCCACAAGCUCCCCUUCUUCCACAAGCUCUCCUUCUUCCACAUCAAGCAUCUCAACAUCUUCGCCAUCUUCAAAGUUAUCGUCUUCAAAUACUGCGUCUAGUAUGUUGUGUUCUCCUUCCAUAUAAGGUUUUCUUCAAUGGGGGGAAAAAACGCACCACAAAAUUUAUAAGCACCUACAGAGCAGAAAGCAGGAAGAAAACACGCAGAUUUCCACAGACGAGACAAAAACUGCAAACUCGUGCAAAUUUUCUCUAUGGCAAAUCACCAAACAGAUUAUGCGAGCCCUAACCAGAAAAAAUCACAAGUACAACGAAAACAAAAAAAAAAACGUAAAUAAAUAUUUUUUUUAAAAACCGAUGUACGAACCCUAACAAUGCAAAAACAAACACAGCAAUUCAAAGCUUAUGGAAUUUUCCAAUUAGAGUGCUCUGCUUAAGGACGAUGAAGCAUAACCGCGGCUUUUGGCGUUUGGUUGAUCAGAGGACUGCGUUUCGCUGGUAUGGUCUUUAUAGUGAAGCCUAGAUGAGCGCUGGCGGUAAUCAGUAAUGGCUUGUUUGGCUGCGUGGCAAACGAUGAUAUUAAUCCGGAUUGGGUUAUAGGUGGAAAGGCCCAACCCAAGGACGCUUUGCUUAUCUGUACUGAGCGAGCCCAAAAUGGCUGAAACUUAGUCCAUCCCCAAUCUAUUAGUGAUAUUUUAUGAUUUGUUUUUGUUGAAUACGUAAUUGUUAGUAGGUUAUCUGUCGACGUUUGAUUUCUUUUCAAUAGUGGGCCAUACGUCAUUGGCCAAUCCGUACGAGUCCACAACAAAACUGAGUUGAUGUGGAUUGUUGAGUGUGAAAUUUUGAGGAGUAAGUUUUGGGUGAAAAGCUCGGACCACGUAAUCUAUCUGUCCAACUGUUUUCAUAAGAGGGUAUAAAUUUUAUUGAGCGCCUGUCGGACGGAUGACAUGGUUUUAGAGCAAAGCCAAGCCCAACCUCAUAUUCAGACACCAUUGAUUGGAACGGGUAUGAAGUGGAAAUACAGGCCUUCCUUUAUCUUGUUCAGCAAGCAAUGGUGCAUUUUUGUCCUGUAAUUCAUAAAUCUAAUAGAUGCCCUUUGUCUGCAUCAUCACUUUUGUUGUAUUCUUUAAAUUAUACCUACCUUGUUUUCUACCUAUUCAAACGAGGGGAAGGUGGGCAUGAUUGGUACCAAAGUUUCAACCUAACGUUCUUCAACAUCUAGUAGCUUUUAUAUUAUAAAGUUAAAAGAAGAAAAAUACAAAAAGAAAACUCAUUAGAGCUUCCAGCUCUUGUUUUGAAUGAUGAUAGAUUAAGUCUGAUGUUGGGUUGAAAUAUUCUUUAUUAUGGCUAACUUAGCAUUGAUGUGCUAUGAAAAUAUACGCUGUUAGAUUUAUUGUGAGAAAAAUCAACAGUGAGAUAAAACAAUUUGGUGUUUGAUAAAAAAACAAAAGGGUCCCCACUUGCUCUAACAACAAAAAAACUAAAAAUCUUGCAAGUUAACUAAAGAAACUGUAUUCUUUAAUAAAUGAAAUUUCCCGUUAUUAUCUAUAUAUAUAAAGCAAAAGGCAGAGAAUGGUGAAACAUUCAAAAUACCAGAAAAUACCCUUGGUUAAUGCAAAUAUUAAGAAUUGAAAUUAUUAAUUAAAUGAGGAUAAUAUGGUAAAUUCACAAUUUUUCGUAUUAAAAAAAUUAAAAUUAAAAGAAAAUUCAGAUAAUGGAUCCUAUUUUUAUGGAACACAAAUAUCCAUUAUCUUUUUUAAUUCUAAAAUAAAUUUAAAUUUUUUUAAAAAAAAACCUCUCGCAUGCGCAGAAGCGCGUGCAGAGAGGCUAGUAUAUAUAAAGCAAAAGGCAGAGAAUGGUGAAACAUUUAAAAUACCAGAAAAUGCCAUUGGUUAAUGCAAACAUUAAGAAUUGAAAUUAUUAAUUAAAUGAGGAUAAUAUGGUAAAUUCAUAAUUUUUCGUAUUAAAAAAAUUAAAAUUAAAAGAAAAUUCAGAUAAUGGAUCCUAUUUUUAUGGAACACAAAUAUCCAUUAUCUUUUUUAAUUCUAAAAUAAAUUUAAAUUUUUUAUAAAAAAAACCUCUCGCAUGCGCGGAAGCGCGUGCAGAGAGGCUAGUACGAAUUACGGGUGAAAAAACCAGUGGAAUUAUACGGCGCCAACACUGUAAUUCCCGCAAUAAUACGGUGCCGACGUGUACGCUCCAGAUUGCACCCCUUUCCAAUUAAAGAGUGAGCUCACUGGGGCCCGCAAUCAAUCAUCCAAGUCGCAUUGAAAAAGAGAACCCACGUGGUCACCAAUAAAUAUCAACUCCUCCUCCGACCUUCGAUCUUUGUGUUAUAUGUCAGCUCCACCAAUCAGAUAUCCUCAUACCAAUUUGACCGGAAACCGCCAUGACUCGGUUGGCUAGCGCCGUCGUCCUGUUGUUCCUUGUCUCCCUCUCCAGUUUCGCUGCCGGUAGCCGGGACCUGAUCGGAGACGUUUUACGGUUACCUUCUGAAGCUUCUAGAUUCUUCGGCAGAGGCGAUGACGGCCCUGAUGAGCAAGACGACGGCACCGUGGGGACCAGAUGGGCUGUUUUGAUCGCUGGCUCAAAUGGAUACUGGAAUUACAGGCAUCAGGUCUUAAUUUUACACGAUAUCAUCUUUCUUAAUUCAGAAAUAUUCUUUUUUGUUAUCAAACUUCAGUUGUUAAUGGAAUUUGAGUUAUAAUUUUGGAUGUUAAUUUCAAUUUUUUUUCCCUUCAUGUUUUUUGAAUUGUUUGAUAUCUGAAUUUGGGUAACCUCAUAUUGGAAAGUUUAUGCUUGUAUAAUCUCGUUUAAAUUUGACUUUCAGCUUAUCCAAUUUCUGAUUCUUUUACCUUGUUGCUUUCGAAUUUGUCAAACUAAAUUUUGGAAGCUUAGAGUUUGUUUUGGAACUAAUAUGAAUUUAGCUCAAGCUUGUGUCUUUCUUAUCUUCCUUGAUCUCAUCUCAUUUUGACUAAGACAGAGUUUUAAAUUUACAUGUGGCUUGAGUUUGUUUUGGAACUCAUAUGCAUUUAGUUCAAGUUCGUUUUAUUAAUUAUUAUAUUCCUUGAUCUCAUCUCAGUUUGAAACUUUGACAUGGAGUACAUGAUCUCAACGUUAACCAUAUUUGUAUAGGAGCUGGAUUUCUGUGUCAGGGGUGAAAUUGAUACUUUUGUUGUGUCUAUAUCUUCAUAUGAAUGUCAAUAAAUAUCUUAUUGGUUUCACAUAUUUGAAAGCUAAGCCACCCUCAUUUCUUGAUUGAUGUUUAACACGGACCUUUUUAUCUUGUUUGUUUAGGCUGAUAUUUGCCAUGCUUAUCAACUACUGAAGAAAGGUGGGCUGAAAGAUGAAAACAUUGUUGUAUUCAUGUAUGAUGAUAUCGCUUAUAACGAAGAGAACCCUAGGCCCGGAGUCAUCAUUAACAGCCCACAUGGUGAUGACGUUUACAAAGGAGUCCCAAAGGUCUGUUAUCUUCCCCUCUAGGUGUUUACCUGCUUCUGAAUUGAUAGUUAUAAUUCCCCUCAUGCGGUCGAUUUUACGGUGGCAGGAUUACACCGGCGAUGAUGUUACUGUUAACAAUUUUUUUGCUGCUAUCCUUGGAAAUAAAACUGCUCUUACAGGGGGUACUGGGAAGGUUGUGGACAGCGGUCCAAACGAUCAUAUUUUCAUUUACUAUUCUGAUCAUGGUGGUCCUGGAGUUCUCGGUUAGUAUCAAUUCUGCACAUGACAAUACUGACAUUAUUUUGCCCACAUCCCCAUAUCUUAUCUACUUACUCUUUCCCUAGGGAUGCCUACCAGUCCAUAUAUUUAUGCUAACGAUCUAAUAGAAGUCCUGAAGAAGAAGCACGCAGCAGGAACCUAUAAAAGCUUGGUAAGUUUCUAGUUGAACUGUAAAUAGAUGCUGCAUAUACCAAUAGAGUUGGACUAAUUCGUAGAACUGCAGGUAUUUUAUCUUGAAGCUUGUGAAUCCGGAAGUAUCUUUGAGGGACUUCUUCCUGAAGGUUUGAAUAUCUUUGCAACUACGGCAUCAAAUGCAGAAGAGAGCAGUUGGGGGACUUACUGUCCAGGAGAGUAUCCUAGUCCUCCCCCGGAGUAUGAAACCUGCUUGGGUGACCUGUAUAGCGUUGCUUGGAUGGAAGACAGGUAUGCAGAAUUAUUUUAUUUUGUUAAAUUUUCAAUAAAGGGGUGGGAAGAAAAGCAGCUUAAUGUUAGCUUCAUUUUGCAUACCCUUGGUAAAUAAUAACAAUUUCAUCUUUCCCUAAAAGUGCAUUACUUCUUGAGUAUUGUCACUUUAAGAUUUGCCUCAAAAUAUGAAGAAUAUAUGAAUUAGGUAGAAGUUUGAAACUGUAUCAUUUCAUGCCAGUUGUUUUUUCUUCUUUAAUUCUUGCACUGGUGGUGUGGGUGUUUGGAUUGUCUUUGCAAGAGCAGUUUCUUUCUCAGGUUGGAGAAUGAAACUGUUCAAAUUAUAAUUUUCAUUUGAGAUUUAACAUUUUGACCUUGUGAACAGUGACAUACACAACUUGAGGUCGGAAACUUUGCACCAACAGUAUGAGCUGGUAAGAAUUCGUCUCUUAACACAUUGUUAUGGAACAGAUAGAGAUUUUUUUUUCUUCUUUUGUACAGGAAAGACCAGCUGUUUAUUAUUGUAUGUUUAAAUAAAAGAGAUUGUCUGUAUUUAGAGAAGUCUUGGGGGUCUAGCCAAGAAAUAUCUAGAUGUGAUCCUGCUAGUUGCUAAUGUCAGUUCUUUGAUUUCAUUAUGAUGGCCCAGGUUAAAACGAGGACAGCAAAUGACAAUUCUGGCUUUGGUUCUCAUGUCAUGCAAUAUGGCGAUGUAGGGCUCAGCAAGGAAAACCUCUUUGUGUAUAUGGGGACAAAUCCUGCAAAUGAUAACUACACUUUUCUGGGCGAGAACUCCUUGAGGCCAUCUACAAAAGCUGUCAACCAGCGGGAUGCUGAUCUUGUCCAUUUCUGGCAUAAGGUUAACUCUUACCUUUUUCAUCCGUGAAUAGUUAUUUUGCCUUUUCUUUUAAAUAUCUAGUCUUAAAAUUUAUGUACUAGUCAUCAUCGGUACUUAUAUUUGGAAGUAUUUCAUACUGUUAGAUAUUAUGAUUGAUUUGAUUAAAAGUCAGGAGAGAUCAGUAAUGAUGAUUGGGGAAUACUCCAUGUUUUCAUUGUUUAAACGGUAACAUAUCAUAAGUACCAUGGAGGUUUUGGAACCAUGCCAUUUGCCCUGCUCUCCUGUGAAGCUCCAAACAAAGCAGUAGAAUAUCUCUGCUUGGAACAAGAAUUUUGAAUACCAAAAAGGGAAUGAAACCAAGGUUUUGAUUAAAUAAAAGCCUUAAUUGUUAUGAAAAUCUAAGGUUCUACUUCUGAAUAUUCUGUGGUUUUGUAACUAUUUCUGUGUGUUAGCUGUCAGCCUGAAGAUCUAAGCCCCUUGUUUUCCCUUCUUUUCUUUUUCUGGAUGCAGUACCGCAAAGCUCCUGAAGGCUCACCAAGGAAAAUUCAAGCUCAAAAGGAUUUUGUUGAAGCAAUGUCUCAUAGAAUGCAUAUGGAUCAAACCAUGAAACUUAUCGGGAAACUCCUGUUUGGAAUCAAGAAAGGUCCAGAAGUGCUCAACACUGUUCGACCUGCUGGGCAGCCACUUGUUGAUGACUGGGACUGCCUUAAGACAAUGGUAGUACUUCUGCUGUUCAUUUUCUCCUUAAUGCUGUUAAAACUUUUCUGAUUCCAUCUUGUUCUGCAUAUAAAACAGAUUUUCACAAAUAAUAUAUGUGGCUGUGCCUGAUGGGUUUGUGUGUGCAGGUGAGGAGUUUUGAGACAUAUUGUGGAUCCCUAUCUCAAUACGGGAUGAAACACAUGCGGUCCCUGGCAAACAUCUGCAACGCCGGAAUGACAAAGGAGCAGAUGACCGAGGCUUCAGCACAAGCCUGCACGAGCGUUCCUUCUAGCCGUUGGAGCUCCCUGCACCGGGGGUUCAGCGCAUGAUUUCAAGAAGAAGAAAAAAUGUGGGAUUUGAAUAACCAAUCCGUGGUCAUCUCUAUAUGCAAAACAUAUCUUAGGAUGCAUUUCGAUUAUUGUUAAUGUUAUUCUGAUUGCUUCAGUGUAACCUUGUGUAAAUACAACUCAAGCCCCUGUACUGUAAUGCACGUACCUACUGAAUCUUGUAAGUAAAUAUUAGCAUGUUUGUUGCGUAUGAAUACGUACCUGUUUGCUGCAGCUGGUGUACGCAUCAGGCUCUGGUUAUAAAAAAGUUUGCAAUUACGAUAUGCCUUUGUUUUAUGUUCACUUUGGUUGCUUCAUUAAGGAAGUGAGUGGCUUGUCUCCAUCUCCUUCACCACCACCACUAACAGAACAUAAUUAUCGCGUAACACUUUCAACUUUAUGUCUAUUUGAGUUAUUAUUUACAAUUACAAUUUUUUUAUAUUAAAAUUUAUCAAAUAAUUUUGACAAUGCUUUUUGUACUAGCACUUCAAAAGAAUUAUUUAUUAAACAUGAAGUUGCUUUACUUUACAAUUAAUUAUUUUUAAAGCACAAUAAAAUUAAAUUUUUUAAAAAAGUCACAUCAAUCUCAAAUUCCCCUUCUUUCUUGUCCGUCUCCAAAUGGUAAACUGGUAAUCUAGCUUUUGACCCCCAAAAAAAUGGAAAUCUAGUGGGCCUUUCAUAAGAUAAUGUCAUUAUCAUUGUGUGAGUAUAUUCCGUGUAAUUGAGUAAUGAAAGAUAUCGAUCGCGUUGGGAAUUGGGGAAAGUUAGAAAUAUUUAAGAGACGGAUUUACUCCCUCAAUUAAUGUAAUUUAUGGGUUUUCAAGAAUUAAAUGACGGAUUUUAAUGUGGAACACACAUAAAUUUGUAUACCUGAUGUAAAUUUAAGAGUUGGAAUAAUUUUAAUAUCCAUUAUAGGCAAAUGAACAUGCCAUGCUAUAGGUGUGUGCCCAAUUUCAUUGUGGAGAACGUAGCCGUAGGAGAGCAUGCGUCCAACCCCAAAUUCCCUUUCUUCCUCACCUUGCUCCAACCUGUAGCUGCCAAAAUGUAGGUAAGCAACAGCCUACAUUACGGGUCCAAUAAUGUACAAUUUUGGCAAAGUCCAAUUACUUUAAUGAUGGAAUGAUUGUAUAGUUAAAUCUUACUUAAUAAGAUAAGAGUGAGAGUCAAAUUUAUACGGUGCAUAUUUAUUUCAUGUGUCAAUGCCAAUUAUAUUACAUAUUUUAAUUGAAUAAUACGGACCAUUUAACUUGACACAUGCAAAAUUAUAGAUGAGCUUGUAAUUGUAACAUUAAGAUUCACACAAAAAACGAAACUCACAAUAUUUAGCUGAAUGGAAAAUGUUUUCAAGAUGCAUCUAUCAUAAGUUCUAGCUGUGAACAUUAUUAUAUGGCAGUGUCCCAUCCCAUGGUCUCCCCAAGACUCACAACCCAACAUUUUCUUUUUCUUUUUCUUUUUCUUUUAUUUUUUUAUUUUUAUAAAACGCAACCCAACUUUAAAAAUAUGAUCCAUAAUUGCAUAUUGUCAAACCAACAGUGAAAAAAAAAAAAAAAAAAAGGGAAGCAGGAACCGACGCUCUAGAUUCAACAAUUUUAUUUGGUCAACACACAAAUAUUUAAGCUUGGCUUAUAUACGGUCUAUAAUCGGCCACAGGAACCGGACAUCAAGGACAAUUGUCUGAUAACGUGAAAUCCACGACUCUGGUUAAACUUACCAUGGUUAGUUCACUAUAACCAUACUACAACGAACCGGUUCACCAGAAAAAUAAAAUUAAAAAAUUAAAAAAUUAAAAAAAGGUAAAGGAUGAAUAAAAAAAUAAUUGGGUAAUGCAAAUUAUUGCCACUUAACGGAGUAGUAGAUUCUGUUAGAUUCAUUUGACGAGGCGAAGAGGGGGCGCAUAGUAAGAACGUUGUAACGAGGUUUAAAAGAGACGGAGCUGACGGUUUAAGAUAGGGAGACGCGGGAGCCGUUGGAUUGUUGAUCAAGGGCCGAUAAUGCAAGGCGUUGGACGGUUCAAGUGUGACGGAGAGUGGGAGGGGUCGUAUAAAGCCUGGGUUUUGAAAGGUGAGAGUGCAUUUCGUUCCAUCAAAACAAGAAGAAGAAAGAGGAAGAAGAAGGAGAAAGAGCCUCUCUGACGUUUUGGCCUUCGGUUUUUCUUCUGCUUUAGAAUUUAAAGAGGAAUUCGGGAGAGAAUUCGUAGAGCUGGACUGUGUGUAAUGUUAAGGAUCUAAUUACGAAGCUUUUCUGUGAGCCUGUUGUGUGUUCGCGGGAGAGAGAAGGAGAGAAGAGCUUGCAGAGGUUGGUGAUGGAGAAAACAGAGCUCGAUUUUGGUAGUUUUAAUGUAAUCUGAUUUCUUAGAAUGACCGGGUUAUUUUGUGCAAUUUCUGUUUUGCAGAUACAUUCAGAAGAGCUUUUGGAGGAAUUUGAAGUGAAAUCGAUUGCGAUUUGCUGGGAUAAUUUCCAAGGUGGACCUCAUUUCAUUGAAAUUUACAGAGAAAAGGUCGAGAAAUCUAGUUUAGAGGUGAGGGGAGUUGGAUUUGCUUAAUUUCCUAAACGAUUUCACUCCCUUAUUCUAACUCAUCGUUCGUUUGAUUUUGGUUUCACAGGUACAUUUCCCGGAGAUUUGACCCCUUUUUUUUGAAGAAAUCUCAACUGGGGUAUGAGAUAAAGAAGAACAAGCAUCUCUCAUUCAUGAGUGUCAGGGACAUAGGCUCUAAGUUUCAAUCAUUUCGUUGAUUUUCGGCUCUAGAUUUGCAUUUUGCAAAGUCAGAAGGCCUAGAAGAGCAAGAUUACCCAAAAGAAGCAAACUUUCUUUUGCAAAUUCAGGAUUGUAGCUGCUUGCGAAAUCUCAGUAUAACAGGUGAGGAUUCAUUUUCCGAAUCCUAGAUCAGUGAAACCAAGUCUCGGGCUUAGGAUUUCACUGGCUGAUUUGAUUUCCUUCCAUUUUCGGUUCUUCGAAUUUUGAUAUCUUUCUACUCAAUUUGGUUUCUUCAAGGAGGCUCUCACUUUUCUCUUCUUUUUCCUCAUCUGCAGCAGAGUCCAAGCAAUUGGUUUCUCUGUUUUUUGAUUUUCGAUGUUCAAAAGCAGAUAACUUUGCAACAGAAUUUUAAGCUUUUCAAAUGAAGCCAGCCGAGUUCCUUGACUCUCUCUCUCUCUCUCUCUCUCUCUCUCUCUCUCUCUCUCUCUCGCUCGCUGGGUCUUACAUUUGGAUCCAUCAUCUUUGUCCAUCAUCUUCUUUCAAUUUUCUGUCAUCUGCCUUCUGUGCAAGAAUUUUCAAUUUCAAAAAACUAAUUGACCUUUAUAUUUGGGAAGAUUAUCUCUUCUUCUUCGUCUUCUUCUUCUUCCUCUCCUCCUCCUCCCCAUUUUAAAGGCUUUUAAUAUAUUUUUCUGAAUGAUUUCCGUCUGUAUUAUCAGCAUUGAAAAGAAAAGACCUUCUCUAUGAAAUUUUACCCGCUGUUUUGUGAAAAAUCUAUCUAUCUUUGGUGUUCUUUGCUGGCAGUCCGAAGUUUGUGUCUUUUCCGAAAUUCAAACACCAGCAGAGUGCAAAAUCUUCUGUUUGGUUCUCGGGAAACUGAUACAAGAAAAAACUGAGCUAACAGACGUAAUUGCUCAACUUAUUUAAUCGCAAUUCGUUGGAAGCGUCUGAUAAAAAAAAUAUAUAUAUAUAUCAAAGAUACAAUUUUCAUUCUUUGUCCUUUCCCUGCCUUUUUUUUUUUUCGAUCUUCAUCUUCUCCGUCUGUUUGGGUAGGCCCUGCUUUUCAUUUGAAUUUUAUUUUUAGGCACUCGCAGUUGCAGAGAGCCAGCCACAAUCCAAUUCCAGAUUCUCAGUUUUUGCCAUUUCCGUCCCUAACUUUAAUUAUGAGCAUUAACCGCGGUUAAAGUGUAAAAAAUCAUGUUAACUAACUAACCGCUGUGAUUAAUUCUUGUUUUGGCAUGGGUGGACAGGUGUACAAAAGGAGAUGGAAAGGGACUGUCUUAGGCACACCCAUACUAAAGACACCCACAAUCCCAACACUCGAGACAAAACCGGAGGGGACGCCUCAGCCUCUCUGCUGUUGAGAGCGAGCCCCGAUGCCAUACGACACGCAACGACGUCGUCCGAUUUCGUUUUGCAGUGGGGGAACCGCAAGCGCCUCAGGUGUAUGAAGAUCCAGGUCAAAGACAAGGGCAAAGACGACUCCGACGCCCCGGUUACCCGAACCACAGUCCGGGUCGACCGCCGGGUCGUCCGACCUGAUAAGGACCCGGCCAAUCAGCCUUCCACGGCCGGUAACUCUAAUCAGACGAAUGGGUAUUUGAAUCUCCGUCAACGGCCGUUAUCUCCGCAGCAGCCGCCACUUCAGCGUGUUCUCAGGUUACCACUUGCACUUCACGCUUUUGCUUUAUCUAAUCUAUAUCUAUUGCUUCCACGGGACGUCGUUUCGGUCCUGCCUUUCGUUAACAUGUAGUUUCGUCGUUUUGUGGGGUAGUUGUGGUGGCGUUUUGUCGUUUAAAUUAGUGGCGGGUGGGCCAGGUGCGUGGGUUUUGUCGUUUUUAGUUAUUUUGGGACUUGUUGCCUACGGUUACAUCUGUACAGUUUUGGUGCGGUUUUUAUAUAUACCUUGAUCUCACCGUCAGAUGCAUGAGUCAUAAUCAUCAGAUCAGGAGAUUUUAUAUUCAGACUUGCUUGAUUUUAGAUUUUAGAUUUGUGAGGAAAAAUCUCAGAUGAUUGCGUGGCCAAUUUCUCUACGUCUGUGAAGGUCAAAGAGAAUAAUUUUGUUAGGUAAGUGUUUGUUGCUUUGAUUAGAUUAUUUCAUAUGCAACAAUAGAGUGAUUGCAAAUUCUGUUAUCUUCUUCCUUGUUUGGUUGAAGAGAAAAUCUUGUUUGCGUGAAGGGAAAAUCUCUGAUUUUCUUGUGCAAAUUUGUCGCUUUAGAUUGGAUUGAUUUAUAUGAGUGGGACUGGAUAAAUGGAUAAGGCUAGAAAGCAUGGAAUUUUGUCCCACACCACUGGUUUUUUAUAUUCCUGGCCUGCCAUUAACAUGGCUGUGUUUAAUCCUAUGUGCUUAAUGUGUAGUUGAAUGAAAUUUUGUCGGAGGGUUUUUGAGAUUAGGAGUUUUAAUGAUGAAAUUUGGGGCUGAAUUUGUUGUGAGGCUUAUCUUAAUGAUCAACUCUCCAAUUGGUCAGGUGGGUGAAGAGAUGUAAAAGCCCCAGAAGGAGAGCUCAUGGUAAGUGCAUGAGGGUAGGGUGCCUUCUUUGUUUGUCUUUGUAGGAAACUAGUAGCAUAUGAUUGAAUUAGGUUGCUCAUGUAGUCAUGUAAUCUUUUUGGCUUGAUUGUGCACAACAUAAAACACAUUAACAUAACAAACAACUUAAAUUAGAGAAAGAGAGAGUCUUAGUGCCAUAAGGUCAAGCAUUUACCCUCACAUUCACGGCAAGAGUUUGAUUCUUCCUCGUUCGUGUUUUUCAGGAUGCGGUAUUAAAUUAUGGUAUCAUACAGGAUGGUGUAUCAAUAAGUUGAUGUCAAGCAUGAUUGAUUUGAUACUAGUUCUAGUUUUCUUUUUUGGAAUAAAUGCCUUAUUUAUUGUGAUUGAUUUGUUAUUUAUUUUAGACACGAUGUUAGGGCUGAUUUGAUCAUAAAUCUAGAAUGAUUAGGCUUGAGUAAAUUGAUUUCCACUAGGACUUGUGUAGCAGGCUUAUGUUGCUCAUGGUCACACCGGAUCGGGGCUCCACUACAUCUUAGCAUGAUAGCGUCCGAUCCAUAACGACCGGCACCCUGAUUCCAUGGGCUCAGUGGAAAUAGGAAAUGGGCAACUCCUAUUCCACGUGUCCACGGAAAACCAAUUCUUCAACCCCGUUUCUAGCCCUGGGAUCACUGAUGGAUCAGGCAAUGGAUCCACGCCUUCCACGUUUCAACACGUGUUCCUUAACCCCACAAAAGGCACUCUCAAUCCAACGGCUAAAAUCCUGCCCAAAAACCAGCUGUGCACGUUAUACAGUACAUCACAUCCCUUUCCUCUCUCUCUCUCUCUCUCUCUCUCUCUCUCUCAAAUAUCUAACUUUUCAUUAAAGAAAAGAAAAUUAACAACUCCCUCGUUUAAAAGCAGAACACAAAGGUCCCCCAAAGAAGCCAAAAACCACGCUAAUUUUCUACGCAAAACCCAUUACAAAGCCUCUCUCUCUCUCUCUCUCUCUCUCUCUCUCUCACACCAAUCCACCGAUCUAGAUCGUCUCAAGGCCAUUCCCGUAAUUUCACAACUACCCACAUUAAUUUAAUUUAAUUUAAUUUUUUGCCCAAAAAGUAUCAUUUAUUAUGUUUUGUGCCAGCUUUUUUAUGGGUUUAUUGAAUUCAAUUGAUUUGAUUUGAUUUGAUUUUGAUAUGCGUAUCUGAAUUGUGUAGAAACUCAGAGACCACAACAAGUGCCAUGAGAGGCCAGAGCAACGGAGGCUUGAGGGGAAUUGUUUCACCCGACAACAGAGGGGGUGCGCACGAUAAGAAAGGCAACCACCACCAUCACAACCACCACCACCAUAAUAAUGAGAAUAACAACACCAAGUCUGCAGCUUCUUCGGACACGGCGCACGAUAGUAAAAAGGGGGGAGGUGGGUCUUCAUCGGGAAGCGGCGAAGCAGCGUUGGCGCCACCGAUGGUCUGGCCGCCGAAGUUCGUGAUUGCUUUGACCAACAAAGAGAAAGAAGAGGACUUCAUGGCAAUCAAAGGGUCAAAAUUGCCUCAGAGACCCAAGAAGAGAGCAAAGUUCAUUCAACGCACCCUCAAUGUAAGCUCCUCUAUUUUCCUUUUUUAGUUACUUUAUUAAUUAAUUAGUAUUAAUUAAAACUAACUAGUUUUUUUUAUUUUUUUUCUUUCUCUUUUUAAAAUAACACCAUUGCCUUGCAAAAACAAAUCAAAACCCAGUUUGAUUUUAUUAUAUUUAUAUGGUUGUUUUACCUGUAUUUAUGCAAAUUGUUGUUGCGACAAAAUGUGGACUAGCUUAGAAGGAAGGAAAAGCAAAAAAUAAUAAAAUAAUAGAAUAAUAAAUAGAACUUUCUGGUAUUUGUUUAGUUUGGGUUAAAAGAAGCCGAAGAAGAUUGCUAAAGUGACAGCAAGAACAAGGCAUACACGUGUCCGCCAAGCCAUGUAUGCAUAUACCUAAUAUGCCUAAAAGUUAGUUUGCUGUCCGACUGGAAUAGUAUUAAUAGGACGAUGGUUUGGGUUAAGAUUAAAUUCUAUAUUAUUCAUAAUAAUAUGAUAAUGAAAUAUUUUAUUUAGGGUCGCCUCGUUUAGUGGAAAAUUGAUGUCACACGUGGCAAUACAUGGUUGUUGCUUUUGGGUUGGUUAUCGUGGCGAUGGACGGUGCGUGGCGUCUCAUGUGGCCGCAUGUGAUUUAGUGGGCAUCAGUGGACGUUUAAAGCAAGUGGGCCUUAAUUCUGUACUAACCGACAAAAAAAGGGCAUAUGGGUCGAAACGGACCCUGGGCCUGUUACCGUUGGUUUUUUUUUGGGGGGUUCUUUUUGGGAAAUAAUAUGCUUCAUGUUGAGGGCAUAUAGGUAUUUUCACUAGCCCUUAAUUAUGCUAACUGUUUUCUGGCUUGGACCGCACUGCCAACUGCUGAGCACAAAAGCACGAAAGCUGACUACCCACAAUGCACCGUUUUCGUUUUUUAAGUUCCAAACAUAGCAAAACUCAUCAAAGUGCUUAUCAAAAAGCCUAUCCCGCUUUUUGCCCAUUACCUAAAGCAAAAGCUACGCUUUUGCCAGUCUGUUUUUGCUUGUUUUGGCCUCUUCCUUUUAAUUAGCUGGAAGAUUAUUGUUCUAAUUAGUUUUUUAUUUUCUGUAAUUUUGUUUUAUAGCUGGUAAGCCCAGGAGCAUGGCUCUGUGAUCUGACCCUAGAACGGUACGAGGUCAGAGAGAAGAAGAUUUCCAAGAAGGUAUUUUAUUGAGUAAUUUUCUUCGAUUCAGGGCCUAAAUCAAAUUUCCUUAAUUUGCCUUUAAUGUUGAUAUUUUUAUGCAGCAGAAUGAAUAGUUUUUUUGUGUUUUUGCAUGAUGCUGCAGAGACCAAGAGGGCUAAAGGCGAUGGGCAACGUGGAGUCUGACUCUGAAUAGAAAGGAGUUUUAGUGAAAAGACUAAUAUAGCAUUUUCGUUUUUUUUCUCCUCCUUUUUUUGAAGGUAUGAGAAAAAUGUUAGAACUUUGUAAAAAUCUUCACCUUUCAACCAUCAGAAUAAUGAAUGGAUUCAUUUCCGGUCCUGUAUACAGUCUUGUUCCUCAUCUUCCUACUAAGUUUGUUUAAUCAGAACAAGAAAAAAAAAACAAAUCAUCACGUCCAAGCACACGAACAAAUGAAAUUUCUCUCUUUCAAACCCUAAUUGUGAAAAAUAAUUAAAAUAAGCUUCAGGGAUGUAAUUCAAGUGGUUAGUCAUGACAUGUUACACAAUCCAACAAUUUUUUGUUUUCUUGUCAACCUACAACACAUUUUCUUAUGUCGUAUUAAGUUAGAAAAGGGAAUUAACGGUGUUGGAUAGUCGUCCAAACGCACGUGAGUGUCUUAUGAUUGUUCAUAUAUUAACAUAUGGGUCUCAGUCUAACAUACAUCGAUGACUUACGGUGGAAGUGCUCAUUAGGCAUGGGCAAAAUCAGUUUCAGACUUCACCAUCCGAGUGAAAAAGAAACUCGAGACUCGAUCGCUCUCAAGAUGUGAAGAAAAUCACGAAAUUGACUCUUGAGACGAGAUUUGAGACUCUUUAGAGGUUAGACUUCAAGAAGGAAGAAGAAAAACAACAAACCAUAACUCUCUUUAGCUGACACACGUAACGUAAAACCACAAUAUAUGAAUUUGCAAAGCUAUUAAAGACAAUGACAUCUAAAAAUUUACCCGAGACAGGAGAAAAACCAGAACCCCAACUCCCUAAAGUUACCUAGUCAUUAGCAAAUUGAAGGGCCACGUCUAAUUUAUAAUGAUAAGAGAUAAUAUCAUUGUUUGGUCGCAUGAUUUGUGGAUGCCACUUUACAUUAUGUGGCCUCCUUAAUUGGUAUUUUGAUGUGACACGGAACACUUAACGCGGUAAUUUAAUUUCUUAACGUAAUUGACAAUUUCAAUGAAAAUCCAUGACCUAUCAUAUCAGACCACCAAACCAAACCCAACUGAAUUAAACUAUUGGAAGAGGAGAAAACAUGGGUCCUAAUUCAAAUUAACAUUCAUAAUUCGCCAUCAUUGACGGGAAGACCCGAAUUAAUCCCCUUAAUUAUGCCACGAAGAAGCAUAAACACAUUUUAAGAAUAACAUCUGCUCUGUGAGAGUUUGUGGAGACAGACAGAUCCACCACCCACCAUCCAGCUGGUUCUCAAAAGGCAAUUCUAAUGCUACCUGCGGGUCGUGAAGAAAAGAGGAAGAUUUUUCAAUUUAAUUAGCCCCCAAAAAAUAGCAUGGAAAAUACCCCCAAAGGGCCCUAAAUAUACCCUUACCCACUGGGCAUAUUUGUCAAUAAACACUGAAAUUAGGGAUUUUUUCAGGACCCAAACACAAUUGCUAUAGUCGGUGACCCAGAGCCUAUCAAAUUAUAAACUCAUUACGUGUUGCAGUUGGAAUUACAGCUUUAUUCUGUUAGAAUAAAUGAUUAAUUUACACCGACUUGGCUACGCCGCUUUUUUGGUCCAAGCGAAAAUAAAAUAAUUGGAUCUGGAUUUGUAAUUUGCCGCUUUUUAUUUGCAGGUAAUGAAAAUGAAAUAACAAUUUGGAUAUUAGUUAAUUUUGAUAUCACAAGCUAGACAAACACCAUUCUCAAAGCAACUCAAGCAUCAAACACAGGAGGAGGAGGAGGAGGAAGACAAACGAAAUAAAAUCAAUGAAUUAUUUACUCAUAAUAAGGAUAAUAAUCGAAAUCCACAAAUACAAAACCCAUAGUAAUAAACCAAGUGCAUUAUAUAUGUAGUCUAUGCACCACAAAAACCCAUAUGACACUGAAAAUCCUAUAGAUCCAUAAUCACCAGCUACUAAAAUGACAAACGCUACUAAUAAAAAACCAAUCAGAAACCCAACCGCUCUCUACACAGCCCCAACCAUAGUUGCAGUAGUAAGCGAAGACUCAAACCCUGAGCGCAGAUCCGAAGACGAUAGCGGCGAAGGCGGCGGCGAAAGCAGAGAUGAACGACGGGGAGAUGGAGGCGGAUGCGGAGGUUGGGCUAGGAGCUGGAGAUUCGGCGGCCUGAGCGGCGCCGAUGACAGAAAGGACGGUGACGAAGACCGCCAUGAGAGCCACGAGUGAAGUUGCCUUUGAGACUGCCAUUGUUGAUUGGUGUGAGAGUUUCUUGUGCUUCGGAAUCUAGGGUUUUGGGAAUACGCCGAGAGACUGAAGCACAAAUAUCAGAGGUGGAAUGAAGUAGGCUCAAGGAACGUAUUUAUAGCGGGGAUUUUGGGCUGGGGUCGGGCAGCCUGGGCAGCUGCCCGGUUCUACAGGCUGGCUACUUGUGAUUGGUUCAGCGCGACAGCUCACACCGCUGGUCGGGGUAAAUUUUUCUCUGUGGGCCCCACUAGAAACCAGUGUCUACGCGGAGUCGUUU